rnacentral:rRNA from 1 species
AGUGAACGCUGGCGGUAGGCCUAACACAUGCAAGUCGAACGGCAGCACAGUAAGAGCUUGCUCUUACGGGUGGCGAGUGGCGGACGGGUGAGGAAUACAUCGGAAUCUACUUUUUCGUGGGGGAUAACGUAGGGAAACUUACGCUAAUACCGCAUACGACCUACGGGUGAAAGCAGGGGAUCUUCGGACCUUGCGCGAUUGAAUGAGCCGAUGUCGGAUUAGCUAGUUGGCGGGGUAAAGGCCCACCAAGGCGACGAUCCGUAGCUGGUCUGAGAGGAUGAUCCGCCACACUGGAACUGAGACACGGUCCAGACUCCUACGGGAGGCAGCAGUGGGGAAUAUUGGACGAUGGGCGCGAGCCUGAUCCAGCCAUACCGCGUGGGUGAAGAAGGCCUUCGGGUUGUAAAGCCCUUUUGUUGGGAAAGAAAAGCAGCAGGUUAAUACCCCGCUGUUCUGACGGUACCCAAAGAAUAAGCACCGGCUAACUUCGUG